UAGGGAAUCUUCGGCAAUGGACGGAAGUCUGACCGAGCAACGCCGCGUGAGUGAAGAAGGUUUUCGGAUCGUAAAGCUCUGUUGUAAGAGAAGAACGAGUGUGAGAGUGGAAAGUUCACACUGUGACGGUAUCUUACCAGAAAGGGACGGCUAACUACGUGCCAGCAGCCGCGGUAAUACGUAGGUCCCGAGCGUUGUCCGGAUUUAUUGGGCGUAAAGCGAGCGCAGGCGGUUAGAUAAGUCUGAAGUUAAAGGCUGUGGCUUAACCAUAGUACGCUUUGGAAACUGUUUAACUUGAGUGCAAGAGGGGAGAGUGGAAUUCCAUGUGUAGCGGUGAAAUGCGUAGAUAUAUGGAGGAACACCGGUGGCGAAAGCGGCUCUCUGGCUUGUAACUGACGCUGAGGCUCGAAAGCGUGGGGAGCAAACAGGAUUAGAUACCCUGGUAGUCCACGCCGUAAACGAUGAGUGCUAGGUGUUAGACCCUUUCCGGGAUUCAGUGCCGCAGCUAACGCAUUAAGCACUCCGCCUGGGGAGUACGACCGCAAGGUUG
rnacentral:rRNA from 1 species